UACGUAGGGUGCAAGCGUUAAUCGGAAUUACUGGGCGUAAAGCGUGCGCAGGCGGUUCGGAAAGAAAGAUGUGAAAUCCCAGGGCUUAACCUUGGAACUGCAUUUUUAACUGCCGGGCUAGAGUAUGUCAGAGGGGGGUAGAAUUCCACGUGUAGCAGUGAAAUGCGUAGAGAUGUGGAGGAAUACCGAUGGCGAAGGCAGCCCCCUGGGAUAUACUGACGCUCAUGCACGAAAGCGUGGGGAGCAAACAGG
rnacentral:rRNA from 1 species